rnacentral:rRNA from 1 species
AGCGAACGCUGGCGGCAGGCUUAACACAUGCAAGUCGAGCUGGCACUUUCGGGUGUCAGCGGCGGACGGGUGAGUAACGCGUGGGAACGUGCCCUCUGGUUCGGAAUAACUCAGGGAAACUUGAGCUAAUACCGGAUACGCCCUUUUGGGGAAAGGCUUGCUGCCGGAGGAUCGGCCCGCGUCUGAUUAGCUAGUUGGUGAGGUAACGGCUCACCAAGGCGACGAUCAGUAGCUGGUCUGAGAGGAUGAUCAGCCACACUGGGACUGAGACACGGCCCAGACUCCUACGGGAGGCAGCAGUGGAGAAUAUUAGACAAUGGGCGCAAGCCUGAUCCAGCCGUGCCGCGUGAGUGAUGAAGGCCUUAGGAUUGUAAAGCUCUUUUAUCCGGGACGAUAAUGACGGUACCGGAGGAAUAAGCCCCGGCUAACUUCGUG